rnacentral:lncRNA from 10 species
GGGAGUUGUAGUUCCGCUGGAGUGUACAGGGGACCAAGCCUACCCCGGGGAUGGAAAAAUCCGGCUGAGACGGCCUGGGCCGCUGCCACGCGCGGGCGUUAUUCUCCACCCACCUGCGGCCUGAAGAUGCCUGAGGCCCGGACUCUCAGACCCCUAUUGCCCUUUGGUGCUGGAGGCCCAGCGGCAGCCUGAAGCCCAAGAGAGUGGAGCCUCGCGAAAUGAGGAACCUGGCACAAGGUUUGCUUGGAAGCAGGAACGACGGAGUGUGGCUACGUGCCCUAUUUGCCAUUAACGCUUUCUUGCAUGGCAGUGAGAGAUGAGGGCAAGGGAGGUGGCAUAAUGCUCCCGGCCGCUUGGGACUCGGAGAGACGGCAUUUAAUAAAUCACACGCGGUAUUUGCGAAACAGUG